rnacentral:rRNA from 1 species
AAUGAACGUUGGCGGCGUGGAUUAGGCAUGCAAGUCGAGCGAGAACCCAGCAAUGGGGGACAGCGGCGCAAGGGACAGUAAUGUGUAGAUCAUCUGCCCUCAGGCCCGGGAUAGCCGCGGGCAACUGCAGGUAAUACCGGAUAACAUCUCCGGAUCAAAGGUGUGAUUCCGCCUGAGGCUGUGGCUACAUCCUAUUAGCUAGUUGGCAGGGUAACGGCCUACCAAGGCGAUGAUGGGUAGCGGGUGUGAGAGCACGACCCGCGUCAUUGGGACUGAGACACUGCCCAGACACCUGCGGGUGGCUGCAGUCGAGAAUCUUCGGCAAUGGGCGCAAGCCUGACCGAGCGACGCCGCGUGCGGGAUGAAGGCCUUCGGGUUGUAAACCGCUGUCAGAGGGGAUGAAAUGCAGGUGGGUUCUCCCAUCUGUUUGACAUAGCCUCAGGGGAAGGACGGGCUAAGUUCGUGCCAGCCGCCGCAGUAACAC